rnacentral:lncRNA from 1 species
AAAAAAGCGUCAGCAGCGGAAGAGAAUCCUAUGUCAAGUGUAAAGGUCACUUGUGAGUCUUUGCUGGAUUUUUUUGCCAAACGAUAAAUAACCGGUUUUUUUGUGCGGACAUAAGUUUUCAUCUCCUUUGGAUAAAUACCAAGUAGUAUGAUUGCUGGAUCAUAACUAUGUCACCUAGGCUGGAGUGCAGUGGCUACUCACAGGCCUUGAAGUCCUGGGCUCAAGCAAUCCUCCCACCUCAGGCUCCUGAAUAGCUGAGAACACUACAUGUAGUCUUACAUAGACCAGCAUUACUGUCUUCACAAUGGGAGAUGCAGAACAGCUGGCAGGAAUCAAUGUACUCUGUGUUUCUCAUGGGAGAAAGAAAGAACACUGAAGGAAACAAGGACUGUGCCAGGAGAGGUGAUUAAGCAAUUAGAAUAUUUUGAAGUCUAAAAUAACUGUAGUAUCAGGAGAACAACUGAACGAGAAAAUAAAUUACUGAGAGUAAAGCAGUCUGUAGAUUUUGGGAAGAUUCGUAGGUGUGUGAGAAACAAGACAUUUUGGAAUCUUAAUGUAAUCUGAGAAGUAAAAUAGACCUGUAUUCCUGUCAUUCUCUUUCUCAUUUUCUUCCUCCUCACCAAAUCAUGAUGU